UGACAUGUGGUCAGGCGUUGUUGUGGAGA
rnacentral:piRNA from 1 species